UACAGAGGUCCCAAGCGUUGUUCGGAUUCACUGGGCGUAAAGGGUGCGUAGGCGGCCAAUUAAGUCUGGUGUGAAAUAUCGGGGCUCAACCCCGAAACUGCACUAGAUACUACUUGGCUAGAGGGUUGGAGGGGGGACUGGAAUUCUCGGUGUAGCAGUGAAAUGCGUAGAUAUCGAGAGGAACACCAGUGGCGAAGGCGAGUCCCUAGACAACACCUGACGCUGAGGCACGAAAGCCAGGGGAGCAAACGGGAUUAGAUACCCCGGUAGUCCUGGCCCUAAACCGUGCAUGUUUGCUGUAAGAGGAUUCGACCCCUUUUGUGGCGAAGCUAACGCGUUAAACAUGCCGCCUGGGAAGUACGGCCGCAAGGCUA
rnacentral:rRNA from 1 species